GGCAACUUGGCCGAGCGGUCUAAGGCGCUAGAAUCAGGUGUUGAAUCUAGUCCUUCGGGGCGUGAGUUCGAAUCUCACAGUUGUCA
rfam:Stereum hirsutum FP-91666 SS1 unplaced genomic scaffold STEHIscaffold_8, whole genome shotgun sequence.